rnacentral:rRNA from 1 species
GAUGAACGCUGGCGGCGUGCCUAAUACAUGCAAGUCGAGCGAACAGAUGAGGAGCUUGCUCCUCUGACGUUAGCGGCGGACGGGUGAGUAACACGUGGAUAACCUACUUAUAAGACUGGGAUAACUUCGGGACACCGGAGCUAAUACCGGAUAAUAUAUUGAACCGCAUGGUUCAAUAGUGAAAGACGGUUUUGCUGUCACUUAUAGAUGGAUCCGCGCCGCAUUAGCUAGUUGGUAAGGUAACGGCUUACCAAGGCAACGAUGCGUAGCCGACCUGAGAGGGUGAUAGGCCGCACUGGAACUGGGACGGGGUCAAGACUCCUACGGGAGGCCGCAGUAGGGAAUCUGCCGCAAUGGGCGAAAGCCUGACGGAGCAACGCCGCGUGAGUGAUGAAGGUCUUCGGAUCGUAAAACUCUGUUAUUAGGGAAGAACAAAUGUGUAAGUAACUAUGCACGUCUUGACGGUACCUAAUCAGAAAGCCACGGCUAACUACGUG